rnacentral:rRNA from 1 species
UACAGAGGUGCCAAGCGUUGUUCGGAUUCACUGGGCGUAAAGGGUGCGUAGGCGGUUGGGUAAGUCUGAUGUGAAAUCCCACAGCUUAACUGUGAAACUGCAUUGGAUACUAUCCAACUCGAGGAAUGGAGGGGAGACUGGAAUACUUGGUGUAGCAGUGAAAUGCGUAGAUAUCAAGUGGAACACCAGUGGCGAAGGCGGGUCUCUGGACAUUUCCUGACGCUGAGGCACGAAAGCCAGGGGAGCAAACGGG